AGAUUUGAACAUGUUUUUGAUCACUUAUACCGGUUUAUUUGUAACUGCUGUCCGUAGCCAAAACAGUCAGCCCACUUCAUAAGCUUAAAAUAGCAUUGCCUCAGGUGACAUUGUACAGCCAUUGUACAUUGGAAAUGAAUGCAUCAAAAAGCAAUUCUUGCUUCAGAGCUGGGAGAGUGGAGAAGAUAAGAAGUGGUAUGAUGAAUAAAGCCUAACACAGACUGCCGCUUUGUCCUCUGUUCAGGUUAGAGACAUGGAGAAAGAAAGAAAAUGAAAGGGCUAACAAUGCAAAGGAAACGUGAACAGCAAUGGAGUUCCAAAACCAGCAGUAUCUCUGGUAUCAAACAAGCCAGUCACUGCACCCAACCAGCCGCUUCCCCGUGCUGUAAGGUUCGUUAUGGGUAAUAAUGAGUAAUAUGUGCAUGCAAAUGUUAACAAGAAGAAAUCCUGUUUUGUCCAAGCACAGAGGCAUCUGGGUCCUAAGUUUCAUUUUAAUUGGGAAGGGAGCAGGGGAAGCUGCUGUAGAAGAACUGGAGGUGAAGCAGAAGCAUUGUCAAGUGGUAGAAAAUGGUUUCACUGGAGAAUCUCUUGCCAAACUGAGAUAUUUGCUGUUCCCCCCCCUCCCCUCCAUUAUUAAAGCUAUAUUGCAGUCUCACACACCUCCCAAUUUCAGUAGUGUUCACAUUCAGGUUUUGGUUUGACAGAAGCCUCCAUUAAAAUACUCAGAUCUAAACACUGUGCAUCUCAGAUUGGAAUAAUUUUCCUGUUUGGAUCCAUCUCUGCUAUUGGACUAUGCCCCUUAAGUUCAAAAUCAUGUCAAACCUUUCCUAGAAAGACAUGAAGGUAAAUUUCUUCAUGGAACAAAAUAUUUCCAUUUAUUUUUUUCCCCCUUUGGGCUUUGCUUCUCCUUUCAAACUGCCUCUCUGCUCCCUUGCUGCUUGUGAUCGUGUACAACACCCAAGCACAGAAAUAAAGCUGCAGUCAUUCUCAGUCACCACUGGAAUGUCAGUUCACCCAGUUCAUUUUUUCCCAUUGUACUGGGUGGGGUGGUAACUUAGUUGCAUACAGAAACAGGCUCUUUCUUUUUUUAGUAUUAUCGACUAUAUUAAGCUAUUCAUCAGGCUGCCAGUUUGGCCCAUUACUAAGGAAAAUAAGUAGUUUCCCUUCUGCUGUGGAGAAUUGGAAGUUACGAAGUACUUAUGUGAGGUCUGCUCUUGAUUCAGCCAUUCAUUGUAGCAAUCCCUGCUUUGUGUAUGAUACGCUGAAACAAGCCAGUUAAAGCAGCAAUAUAGUGAGCAUUAGGGACAAAUUCCCCUUUCAUAAUGCUGCUUUAAAAAUAAAAACAUGGCUGUACUCUAAGCCUAUAAACAGCAUCAGUUGCCCUGAGAUGAGGACAACACACAAUUACCAUCCCAAGAUGCUGGAUCACAGACGCACAGCAUUAUUGUGCCACUUGGCAUCUUAAUUUGGUUCAAUCAGCAUAUCGAAAUAUACAGAUGAAUUCUGUUUUGCCAAAUGUUGCAGGGACAGGACUCUUGAAUGCGGCUGCAUUUUAAUAAUCUGUCAGUCGCGUGAAGACAGCUUGUGACAGACAGAGCAGAGAGCAACGAGUUGGCCAAUGAAAACACAGCUGGUAGAUCUCAUUUGAAGGGUGCUAGCUUUUCAGCUGCCUCUACAAAGAUUAAAUGAAAUCUUCUGGAUUCAAGGCUCAACUCACCUUGUUCAGGACAAGUUUCAGCAACCAUCCCUGGGUUUUUCUCCCUUACCUCAUCCCUUGUGGUUUUGGCAGGGAAGUCACGCUAAUGGAAAUGUACUGAAAUGGAAUGCAAAACCUUCUGAAACUUGCCUGUGUCUUUUGUAUGCACAAAAUGCAGGCCAGGACUAUGCAAAAAAAAAAGGUUGCGCUCAUUUUUAAAUCUUGGUGUGGGGGGUGAGGGGAAAAACCUGCUUUGAUUUAUGUUCUCUCUUCAAACCCAGGUGAACUUUGCAAUUUUGCAUGGUAUGGACACAGAAAGAGGGAGAUCUCACAUUUGUAACUGAGUUUUACUUUAAGCGUUUGCCUUUUUUCAGAACCCAUGGCUCAAAAAAUGUUGAGCAUCUACCAAAUGAAAUUACUGAAUUUACUAGCUCUCCUCUCUGCUCCAUUCUCUUGCCUAAUUUUUUGCUGUUUGAAAGCCAAAACGCAAUGUAAGAAGGAACUUUUUGCCACCUCCAAAAAAGUCAUUGAGUUGGUAUAUGUGGGAAGGGCUUCUGUUCUAAAGAUAGCCUUCAGCAUGUGGGUUGCGUAUGAGGGCUGAUUUUAGAAUAGAGUAAGUCCUGGCAGAGUUGAGGGUCUGUCUCCAGUUCUGUAAUUACGGUACGAAGUUUGGAUUUGGCGUUUUUUAUUGCUUGCGUGUCACAGUCCUUUUCAAAUGACCACUGGUAGAUGCAUUGGUAGAAUAAGUUUCCUAGAUUAACUACCGAAAAAAAGGAAACCAACUGUGAUUCUU